UUUUCUCAGCGUCACCAUUAUAUAAUUAAAGGCACAUGCACUUUCACAUGCCAUAUAAUUUCUAGUAACAUACCCCUGGAAACAAGAUGGCAGCAACAAGGUCUCAGCUCUGCAUGUUUUUCGUUUUGGUGGCUAUUACUUUCACCCCAAGCGCAGUAUUUGGUCAGAAAACCGCCACAUGUGUCUUUAUUAAAGCAAACUGUGGAACGAACCAUGACUGUUUUGCACCUUGCAAAUUGAAAUUGAAAAAUGACUACUGUCCAGGUUAUGCUAUAUGUGACAAUGGAUCUUCAUGCUGUUGUCAACGAAUUCCGAACUGCGGCAGCCCGCCAUUGAGAAAAACAUGAGUUAGAGAUGAACAGACAUCUUCUUAAUUUGUCUCCCAAUUACAUCUUAAUGAUUUCGAGACAACAUUAUUAUUGUACCCCUCUCAUGUUAGUUUACAAUAAAUGAAUUUGUUCUAUUAUGAUAUA